CUGAGAUGAUGGCUUCACUCUCUCAGCUCAUGUCUUAGAGGGGGCUCAGUCAGACGAUUUUCAUCUGUACUUCAGCAGGAACAGGGGGAGUGAGUGAGAGAGAUUAUAUGCUUACCGCGUUCCCGCUCUCCAACCGAAGCUAACGUCAAAUCUCUUUUUAAAAAGGGGAGGGGGGAGAUGGUGAAAGGGACGAGGCGUGCGAGAUAACUCAGUGAGCACGUCUGAAUGGAUUACCCACUCUGCUAAUUAUGAACAGAAAACACUGUAAUUAUGCAUCAGAGUGGUUUUACUCUCCGUCCUCUCUCUCUCUGUUUUAAUUAUGCUUUGGAGUGGGAAGGGAAGUGGGCUCUCCAAUUGGCCUUUCCGGAGUAGCAAAAAAGCACAGAGCCACUGAGGCGGAAAGGGUCUCAGCCUCUGUGCACUUACUUGGACCAAGGUGGAAACCAAAUAAGUCGGGGCAGAAUGCGUACAGUGUUCACAGACAGCCAGACCAAACAACUGGAUCAGCUGUUCGAACAAACGAAUUACCCCGGCGUCGAGGGACGGGCUGACCUAGCCAGGGACACGGGCCUCACGGAGGAAAUUGUUAGGGUAUGGUUCAAAAACCGUCGUGCGCGCCGAAAGAGGCAGAAAAGCAGCACCAAGGCCGAAUCCCCAAACCUGGCUACUUCGAAAAGAGACUGGCCAACAGUCUACAACAAGCGCAGCUUCCAGGGAAACAGCUUCUCAUGAUUCCUCUGAUGAUAGCAAGAACAUAUGAUUUCUUUACACUAAUUUAUGUUCACUUGAGUUCAUAAGCUUUUAGGCCCAGUCAACACGCGUAAAUAUCCCCAGAUAGCAAUUCAUUGGUGGGCAUUUAAUGUAAAAACUAAAUUCAAUUGUUAGACCUGCAAUAAAUGCACAUUUGAGCAAUUACAGUAAGUGUCUGAGUGUAUUAUCUCUAAAGUUGUUUGAACAAAAGCAAGCAACAGCAAAUGUAGAAAA